rnacentral:misc_RNA from 1 species
GAUGAAGAACGCAGCGAAAUGCGAUACGUAAUGUGAAUUGCAGAAUUCAGUGAAUCAUCGAGUCUUUGAACGCACAUUGCGCCCCCUGGUAUUCCGGGGGGCAUGCCUGUCCGAGCGUCAUUGCUGCCCUCAAGCCCGGCUUGUGUGUUGGGUCUCGUCCCCCUUCCCGGGGGGACGGGCCCGAAAGGCAGCGGCGGCACCGCGUCCGGUCCUCGAGCGUAUGGGGCUUUGUCACCCGCUCUGUAGGCCCGGCCGGUGCUUGCCGAUCAACCAAAACUUUUUUCCAGGUUGACCUCGGAUCAGGUAGGGAUACCCGCUGAACUUAAGCAUAUCAAUAAGCGGAGGA